rnacentral:rRNA from 1 species
CUGGCGUCAGCUACCAUGCAGUCGAGCGGUAGAGAGAAGCUUGCUUCUCUUGAGAGCGGCGGACGGGUGAGUAAUGCCUAGGAAUCUGCCUGGUAGUGGGGGAUAACGUUCGGAAACGGACGCUAAUACCGCAUACGUCCUACGGGAGAAAGCAGGGGACCUUCGGGCCUUGCGCUAUCAGAUGAGCCUAGGUCGGAUUAGCUAGUUGGUGGGGUAAUGGCUCACCAAGGCGACGAUCCGUAACUGGUCUGAGAGGAUGAUCAGUCACACUGGAACUGAGACACGGUCCAGACUCCUACGGGAGGCAGCAGUGGGGAAUAUUGGACAAUGGGCGAAAGCCUGAUCCAGCCAUGCCGCGUGUGUGAAGAAGGUCUUCGGAUUGUAAAGCACUUUAAGUUGGGAGGAAGGGCCGUUACCUAAUACGUGAUGGUUUUGACGUUACCGACAGAAUAAGCACCGGCUAACUCUGUGCCAGCAGCCGCGGUAAUACAGAGGGUGCAAGCGUUAAUCGGAAUUACUGGGCGUAAAGCGCGCGUAGGUGGUUUGUUAAGUUGGAUGUGAAAUCCCCGGGCUCAACCUGGGAACUGCAUUCAAAACUGACUGACUAGAGAGGGUGGUGAAUUUCCUGUGUAGCGGUGAAAUGCGUAGAUAUAGGAAGGAACACCAGUGGCGAAGGCGACCACCUGACUGAUACUGACAC